rnacentral:rRNA from 1 species
UACGGAGGGUGCAAGCGUUAUCCGGAUUUACUGGGUUUAAAGGGUGCGUAGGUGGAUUGGUAAGUCAGUGGUGAAAUACUUUCGCUUAACGAAGGAACUGCCAUUGAUACUAUCAAUCUUGAAUGUAGUGGAGGUAGGCGGAAUGCGUCAUGUAGCGGUGAAAUGCUUAGAUAUGACGCAGAACACCAAUUGCGAAGGCAGCUUGCUACACUACUAUUGACACUGAGGCACGAAAGCGUGGGGAUCAAACAGGAGUUAAGAUACCCUA